rnacentral:lncRNA from 1 species
ACGUCCUCUAAAGCAACUUCCGUGGGUGCCAGGUUGUGGGCUGGGGGCGGUGCUGACCUUGAGAGAGCGGAGGAGGCGCAGGCGCAGCACAGUUUAAACUUGAUUUUGUGAGGGGACGAACAGCGUGACAAUUAAAAGAAGAUCUGGGAAUCAAAAGCUUCCUGAGGCCUUCACCAGAAGCAGAUGCUGGUGCCGUGCUUCUACAGCCUGCAGAACUGAAGGACUUUACAGCUUCUCUUUCGCAUAUCCAAAUUGCCAGCAUCACCGCUCUUGCACUCCAAGCCAUUAUUAAGUAAAGUAAAGAACACAAACACUGUGAUACUGCUACACUUGAUCUGAUAACCAAGAAGUCUACUAAGUGACUAACAGAGCAACUGGGAACCUAAUUCUGACCAAAAAGGAGGAAUUGUUUGGCUAAUUGGAAGUGACAGAAACCUUGGGAGAAAGCAACCGCAUACCAAGGAUAAUUAUAAGAAGAAGAGAAGACAUGGAGAAGAGGAGGGAGUAGUUGUGACCGUGGAGGCAGAGAAUGGAGUAAUGUGAUCAUAAAUCAAGGAAUGCUGACAGCCACUAAAGCUGGAGAAGGCCAAGGACAGAUAUUCAAUCCUCCCGUAGAAGUACAGCCCUGCUAAUGCAUUGAUUUUGGACUUCUGGCCUCAGAACUGUCUGGAAAGCAUGGAAAUUUGUAUCUUCAUUCACUUUUGUUUUCAUGGACUCUUUUCAUGUUUGAACUUUUCAUGAUCCAAUGUGAUAAUUUAUGUGAAAUCUUUCUGCAAACUAUACAGUAUGAUAAAAAUAUAAGGUAGUUUCACUGGAAACAACAGAAGACUAGAAGCUGAUGUGACGUGGCAAUAUCAACCAGGAAUACCCAUCUCGAGUUCUGGAUAUGUGCUCUGAGAAGGUGCCCAUGUCACCGACCACACUGGAGGCCAAUGCAGAUACUGGGGGAAGGUUCCAUGGUAGCUAAGUGUGGACAAGCUAAUCACUGAAGUUCCCUGAUGCAGAGUUGAUAAUCUCUCUAGAGUUGGAUGAAAGACUGUGCUGCCUUGAAGCUCUGAGAGAUGCCAUGCCAAUUCAAGGCAGGGUCUUUAUUGUUGAAACUCUUGCGUAAUGACAUCUUUAUUCAGGUGAAAAUACAGGAUGAAUUUCAACUAUAUGAUAUUGUUUAUGUUCCUCAGACAUGUUAUUUGUCUUUACAAAGAUUGGUUUCAAUAAACUGUGUGACUGAUAUUAAAUAAACAUGGAAUUUUACACAUUCAUAAU